rnacentral:lncRNA from 1 species
AAUAAUUAUGAGUGUUCACAUCCCUGCUAGCAGCAGUGGCGGCGGAUCUGCUGGAAUGAAGAAAGACACACUUCGAACAGAGACAAAGCUGAACGUCUAAAGACGGCCAUAAACUGCCAGACAGCCAUAAAUUAACGUCUUCAUCAAACACUGAGGGGAUCAGCGCUUAUCUAAAUCAACAAUUAUUUCUCCCAAGAAGUUGCCGAACAGAUUGCCCCUCUAAUACUAUUUUCAAACCCCUUUAAUUGAGGAUUAGGGGCCAACAAUCGCCUUUCCGGAGUAAACCUCCUCUCCGCCGGCUCCGAACCUCCCCGGGCUCCCGUCCCCGUCCGGGCUGCUUUAGGAAGGGCGGCCGGCGCUCCCUGCUUAUUCUGAAGGGCUCUGGAGAGCGGGGGAGCGCCGAGAACCGGGAGUCGGAUUGCGGGCAGCACGGCACGCACGGCUGCGGUCGGACGGGCUCAGCCCCGGGGCGCGGAGCGGGGACAGCGGGAUGGGCGCACCGCUGCGCGUCCGAAGCGGCUUCCGAAGUCCACGGCGGCUUCGGAAGUCUCUGCCGGGAAGAGUCCCUCUUUGGGAGGCGAGGGAAGACACGCUCCGCAGCCGGGCGGUUCACUGGCUGGCAGCGUGGGAAUGUGCCUGCGGGAGGCUGGCGGCUGAACUCUUGGGAAGACGGGGGUAGGGGGAAAGAGGAGCUGAUGCAGAAGUUCAUCGGCAAAAGUCACCACGGGGCAUUUCCUUACUGUCCCCUUAGUAGCCAGAGCCCAGACUGGCGAUCAACUUUCUUGUGAUAACAAGUGUUGUUUAAAGGAAAAAAAAAAUACAGGCAGUGUAACACAGUAUGGCAAGAGAGCAUCCUGCAGUGCUCAUAGCAGGGACAGACUUCUUCUGACUCUAUUUUGGUGCAAAUAGUUGGGAAGAGAAGCACACUGAUGGUAUGAGAGGAGGUGUGUGACCACAACCUCAGCACCUGAGGUCGCAGGGAAACCUGCUGCACACCACAGACACAGCGCUGUGUUGUAUGAGGAUUAUGAUUCCCACUACAUUUUAGUUCUUUGCUUUCACGUGAAAAAAGAAAUCGCAUUUUUAAACGUUUCUAUAUUUGCUUCUUUGUAUGCAGCAACCACUUACUCAUACUUACUAGCAUUUAUGAAUAUAGCCACUAAGCAUCAGCGUACAGGUGAAGUUGUAAGCAGUGCUUUUGUAAUUAGACCGGCUUCCCGGUGUGCUGCAGGUAUCAGGACACGGCUGGCCGUGGUACACACACAUGUUCAGGCAAUGAGCAGGAAAAGACAUCGCUGGCUAUGGUCCGACAGCUGAAACAGCCCUAUUCAUAUGAAUUAAGCAUAUGUCAUGCAUAAAUUGGUGUCUCGAUUUUAAAAUAAAGUGAGAUGUAAGUAACAU